GUUUUGACCUGGGAGAUGCUAUCGAUGAUAUAGCUCCAACACCUGCAAAGCCCAAAGAGCAACCGAAGGCCCCAGAUAAUGAUGGUGGCUUUAACUUUGAUUUAGGAGAUGCUCUCGGCCCAGAACCCACCCCCAAAACUGACAAACCAGCUGUUAAACCACCAAAGAGUGGAGGAGGUGGCUUUGGACUGGAUUUGGAGGAUGCCGUCGGCCCAGACCCCAGCGCCAAACCUGAAAAACCACCUGUUAAACCACCAAAGAGUGGAGGAGGUGGCUUUGAUUUUGACUUGGAGGAUGCUCUCGGCCCAGACCCCAACCCCAAACCUGACAAACCAGCUGUUAACCCACCAAAGAGUGGAGGAGGUGGCGGAACUUUUGAUGACUCAGACUUGUUUGACAUUAAUGACGGGAGCUACAAGCCUGAUGGAGGCCGCUCAGGAGGAGGAGGAGGAGGAGGAAAGGAGGUCGUGCGGGGGACCCUGGCUCCGAUCCUCAGGGUACGUUUUUAUUCUCAUAAUUUUCUGUUCCACUGUAUAUAAAAAUACAAUAUAUCAGUUUGCCAUUAUCACAUCAGAAUGUUAUCCAAUAAUAUACUUGCAAAAUGACAACAUUCCCAUCAACCUCAACCUAAGACGUUUAUACCUGCUAAACUUCAUGCUAGCAUUAGCACUUAGGUCAAAGAAAAAGUGGUUCCUGGGCUACUUUCGUAUCAUCCAAUGGUGGCUACUCGAGAUUACCGAUAAGUCACAGCACAACAACAAAUGUUAUACCACGUCACUAGUGGUUCAAACUAUAAACCAGCACAAAAAUAAAUAUAUUAUAAAUAUAAACCAUCACGUUCCAUACAAACACAUUGCAAACAACGAAAAAAAUUAA
ensembl:lncRNA